rnacentral:misc_RNA from 1 species
UGUAAUUGCAAUUGACGGGACACAGUGCAUAAAACUGAAAGCAGGCGGAUCUAGGGGAAUUCUAUAUGCCCGGGGCGCAUAUGAAGCGAGAUCAUUAAAAGCCUCCGAAAGAUUACAAACAGAUAAAUUUGCGCUGAUAUCCGAAAUAUGGAACAGAUUUAUAAGUAAUAGCCAGGCUUGUUACAAGCCAUAUGAAAAUAUCUCAAUAGAUGAACAAUUAUUUCCAACGAAAGCUCGAUGCAGGUUUACGCAAUAUAUACCGAAUAAGCCUCAUAAAUUUGGCAUUAAGUUUUGGUUAGCAGUUGACGUCCAAACAAAAUAUAUUUUGAAUGGUUUCCCUUGUAUGGGGAAAGAUGAAACUCGAUGCUCAAAGGAAAAAAGGACAAGAUGACAUUGUGUUCCUCAAAUUUAUAUAAAUCAGAAAACUGCACCUUAUUGUGUAUAAAAGUAAACCUAAAGUAGAAGUCCUCCUUCUAAGCACCAAACAUACAGGUGUACGAAUAGAAGAUAAUUAUAAACGUGUUCCAGAAACCAUUGCUUUUUACAAUAAAACAAAGUAUGGUGUGGACGUCGUUGGCCAAAUGGCACGCAAAUCUAGCGUGAAAGCAGGGAGUUUCUGAUGGCCCCUUCAAGUCUUUUUCAAUAUUUUGGAUUGGGCAGCGAUAAACGCGAAGAUAUUAUAUAAAGAGUGCACCAGAUCGAAAAUAUCCAGAAAAGAAUUCAUUUUUUGUUUAGCCGGGGAAUUAACUGGAGAAAACAAGGACAACAUUUGCCAAAGAUCAGACGCUUCAUUUCUGUCACCUUCAACGUCAGAAGUGCGAAAAAGUUGCCAAGUGGAUUAUUGCAAAAAAAAAAAAAAAAAAUAGAAGUAAUAAUUAUUGUUUAUAUUGCAAAAAGAUCGUAUGCGGAAAAUGCACAAACAACAUUCAGUAUAUUUGCAAAAAAUGUGCUCGAUAGGUAUGAUUACCCUGUACCGUUAACGUUAUUGUUAUUUUUUUUAGUGAUAAUUUAAAAAAAAAACUUUUUAUUUAUUAAUAAUUUAUUUAAACGUGAAGCCUAAUAUUGUUCCUUUCAGACUUAAUUUGAAUAAAUCGAUUUUUUAAUGAAAAAUGCGUAUUUUCGUUUACCCGUCAAUUUGACGGGUCCCGUAGAGAUAAGUAUACUACAUACAGAUUUCAAAGAUUAGAAAGCCUAGGAAAAAAUAAUUUUGUGUAUGAAUUUUUUAGAUGAAAUGAUUAAUUUACGAUGCAAAAUGGUUAAAAUUGGUGCUAUGGUUUUUGAGAUAUUUCAUUUCGAAUUUCGAAAUCCGUCAA